rnacentral:rRNA from 1 species
UCCAGACUCCUACGGGAGGCAGCAGUGGGGAGUAUUGCACAAUGGGGGAAACCCUGAUGCAGCAACGCCGCGUGAGUGAAGAAGUAUUUCGGUAUGUAAAGCUCUAUCAGCAGGGAAGAAGAAGGACGGUACCUGACUAAGAAGCCCCGGCUAACUACGUGCCAGCAGCCGCGGUAAUACGUAGGGGGCGAGCGUUAUCCGGAUUUACUGGGUGUAAAGGGAGCGUAGACGGUUAAUCAAGUCUGAAGUGAAAGCCCGCGGCUCAACUGCGGAACGGCUUUGGAAACUGAGUAACUGGAGUGCUGGAGGGGCAGGCGGAAUUCCUGGUGUAGCGGUGAAAUGCGUAGAUAUCAGGAGGAACACCGGUGGCGAAGGCGGCUUACUGGACUGUAACUGACGUUGAGGCUCGAAAGCGUGGGGAGCAAACAGGAUUAGAUACCCCGGUAC